rnacentral:rRNA from 1 species
GAAUAUUGGACAAUGGGCGAAAGCCUGAUCCAGCCAUGCCGCGUGUAUGAUGAAGGCCUUCGGGUUGUAAAGUACUUUUGGCAGAGAAGAAAAGGUAUCUCCUAAUACGAGAUACUGCUGACGGUAUCGGCAGAAUAAGCACCGGCAACCUACGUUCAAGCAGCCUCGGUAAUACGUAGGGUGCAAGCGUUAAUCGGAAUUACUGGGCGUAAAGCGUGUGUAGACGGUUAGGAAAGAAAGUUGUGAUAGCCCCGGUGUUACCCUUGGAGCUACAUUUUUAACGGCCGGGCUAGAGUAUGUCAGAGGGGGGUAGAAUUCCACGUGUAGCAGUGAAAUGCGUAGAUAUGUGGAGGAAUACCGAUGGCGAAGGCAGCCCCCUGGGAUAAUACUGACGCUCAGACACGAAAGCGUGGGGAGCAAACAGG